GGUCAAAUCAUCAUGCCCUUUAUGUCUUGGGCAACACACGUGCUACAAUGGCUAUAACAAAGUGAUGCUAUCUCGUGAGAGUAAGCCAACCACAAAAAAAUAGUCUCAGUUCGGAUUGAAGUCUGCAACCCGACUUCAUGAAGCUGGAAUCGCUAGUAAUCGCGGAUCAGCAUGUCGCGGUGAAUACGUUCCCGGGCCUU
rnacentral:rRNA from 1 species